rnacentral:misc_RNA from 1 species
CAGUCGUAACAAGGUUUCCGUAGGUGAACCUGCGGAAGGAUCAUUAAAGAGAUAGGGUCUUCAUGGCCCUCGCACCCUCCAACCUUUCUGAUUGCUUAAUCAAUCUUAUUCCGUUCGGGUUGCUUUGGCCGGGGAUCCGUUCCUCGGGUCCCCCCCGGAGCGCACUAACCCUCGGGUUGGUGAGCGCCCGCCAGAGUCCAACCAAACUCUUGUAUUAAACCAGUCGUCUGAGUAUAAAAUUUUAAUUAAAUUAAAA